CUCAAUACAAGUCUGGUGAGUAAUGCUUACCACUUUUCUCUCACAAAGCUCCAUUCUUCCAUCUCUUGGAUCCUGCCUGCCCUAAGGUUGUAAGACAAUAUGCAGAAAUACCAAAAAGAAAAUGUCUUUGGUUGGCAAAGAAGCAUUUGUAGCAUUAGCUUUCUAAAUUUAAAGAGUUUUAGUAAAUUCUCUCAGAAGUGCAAACCUCAAGUGAUUCCAGCAUUUCUUCUUCCUCUCCUCCAUCCUUGUCUUGAUUUUAUGUUUUCUUUCCUGCUCCCCUGUCUGUCCACUUUGUCUUGCUUCUAUAUUUGUACCUAUGCUACUCGUGAUCUUUUUUAUUAUGAUAUUUGAAGAAAAAGGAAUAUGAAAGCAAUACAGAAUUAAAAGAGGAAAUCCAAGAGUUUCAGAAGAAAUGGGACAAAGACGGAGAAAUGGAAAAGGCAUUAAGAGAAAACAGAUUGGAGGAAAGAAGAGUUCCAGGCUGAAAAUGUGACCCUGGAUGCAGCCACUGCCCAUCCUUCCCUCCUUCUGUCUGAAAACAGGAGACGAGUGACCUGGCAAGAAAGGCAACAAGAUCUACCAAGCUCCACCCAGAGAUUUGACUCCCUCUCCUGUGUGUUGGGUCAGCUGCACAUCAGCUCUGGGAGAUCCUUCUGGGAGGUUAAGGUUGAGGAUGCAUCUUCUUGGGACCUGGGAGUUUGUCAGAAUAAUGUAACAAGGAAGGGGAAGGUCACAAUGUCCCCACAUAAUGGUUUCUGGGCCAUCAGGCUCUAUAAUAGGGAGUACUGGGCCCUCACCUCCCCAGAAGCUUGUCUUACUGUAAGAGAAAUACCCCGUAGUGUGGGGAUAUUUCUGGAUUAUGAGGCUGGAGAUGUAUCUUUCUAUAAUAUGACAGAUGGAUCCCACAUUUUCUCCUUUCCU